rnacentral:rRNA from 1 species
UACAGAGGGUGCAAGCGUUGUUCGGAAUUAUUGGGCGUAAGGCGCGUGUAGGCGGCUUUGCAAGUCGGGUGUGAAAGCCCUCAGCUUAACUGAGGAAGUGCGCCCGAAACUGCUUGGCUUGAGUACCGGAGAGGAUGGCGGAAUUCCCCAAGUAGAGGUGAAAUUCGUUGAUAUGGGGAGGAACACCGGUGGCGAAGGCGGCCAUCUGGACGGAUACUGACGCUGAGACGCGAAAGCGUGGGUAGCAAACAGG